GAUUUCUGCAAUAUGUUCAUGAGGUAAACUGGUCCAUAGUUUUUCUUUGUCCUUCAUUUAUUGUUUACUGUUUGCCUCGUUUACAUAAUCAGGUUAAUUCUGGCUUCAUAAAGAAAGGUGGAAAGUGUUACAUCAUCUUCUAAGUUCUGAUCCACUGAACUGACUGCUUCCUGAGUCGUUGGUCUGGUUUUCCCGCUAUUAACAGGUGGGGAAAACGGCGCACUGAAGUCCAGCAGGUCGCUCAGCUCCUUGUCGGUCCCUAUCGCAGCCAUGCGCUGUUGUUGGGGGUUCACCUUCGGUCACUUCUCGCAGGUCCAGCCUCCAGCGAAAGUUCCCUCCGGACGCGCGCGGGCGGGCUCGGCGGCCGCCUUCUUCCGAGCGGGCUGCGGUCCCCUCACAGAGCUGGUGGGUCUCCUCGGGCGGACAUUUUUUUCGCUGAGGGGCCUCAGCACCGCGCUCCGUUCACCCUAGAUCCUUCCUGGAUAUUUUCUAACGCUGCAAAAUUAUUUCAUAGUAAAAGGUCUUCAUUGGAUCAUAAAGUUGGCUACUACAGAAAGAUUUUAUGACUCAAGCUUCAUACAGCUUUGUCAAUUCCCGGAGUGAUCAAAUCCCCGCAAACUGCUGUGCGUGUGCUUCGGCCCACCAGUAGAGGGCAGCAUUCCCCAGACUAACAGCGCUUCAGGAUGCAGAUAUCAGACCUGGCAGUGAGAAGGAAACGACAAAAUCCACAAGGCAUGGUAAGGUCAGUCUCAAGAUUUGGGAUCUACGGCAGAGCCUAGCUCCUGCCAGACAAUAAGGAUUAUUUACAAAUAGUAAUAUCUAAUACUCUGUGUCUUUGAUGCUUUUAGAACCACGAUGGGGCCCUCCUGGAGAUACUGAAACACAUUAGGUUGCUGACCUCACUUUGGCAAUUUCUACUAAAGGAAAGAACGCAAAGGGCAAGCAUACUUAUCCAUCAGAUAUCCAAGAACUGGCGAGAAAUUCAAACAUACACAAAUUUUUUGGUUGUAGAAGGAAAGGCAGCUCAUUUUUGGCUACCAUUUUGCUAAAAAGUAUUAAAGGGUACCUGCACCUGCCAUCACCACCAGUUUUCCCAGCACCAGGCAAGCAACUAAGGAACAAUGAAAGCCUAGUACAAGCCUAACAACAAAUAGUAUUUCCCCUUCUCUAUUCUACACUGACUAGGUUCAGAGACUACAACAGGAAAGGACUGGUUCUGAUGGCAAAAAGCAUGAAAGGCAGAAAACAAGAAAUGAUCACAGAAGGCUUUGAAAAUACACAGGCUAAGGUGCUUUCAGCAGAAUGACAAAGUGAGCAGUUCCAUUCUAGCAAAAGUUUGGAUUAAAGAACAGUAUGUUCGUAAAAUAGAGUGAGGUGAUCUUUUUUUAAAGACAGCAACGGAAGGGCUGGGGAUUUAGCUCAGUGGUUUCGCCGCUUG